rnacentral:sRNA from 12 species
ACUGUGGAGUAUACAAGAACUUGUGAGUAGUAUAUUUAAUUUAAAAUUAAAUUACAAAAGCAUAUACGUUGAAUCAGUAA